GACGAACGCUGGCGGCGUGCUUAACACAUGCAAGUCGAACGGAAAGGCCCUGCUUUUGUGGGAUGCUCGAGUGGCGAACGGGUGAGUAACACGUGAGUAACCUGCCCUUGACUUUGGGAUAACUUCAGGAAACUGGGGCUACUACCGGAUAGGAGCUCCUGCUGCAUGGUGGGGUUUGGAAAGUUUCGGCGGUUGGGGAUGGACUCGCGGCUUAUCAGCUUGUUGGUGGGGUAGUGGCUUACCAAGGCUUUGACGGUUAGCCGGCCUGAGAGGGUGACCGGCCACAUUGGGACUGAGAUACGGACCAGACUCCUACGGGAGGCAGCAGUGGGGAAUAUUGCACAAUGGGCGGAAGCCUGAUGCAGCAACGCCGCGUGCGGGAUGACGGCCUUCGGGUUGUAAACCGCUUUCGCCUGUGACGAAGCGUGAGUGACGGUAAUGGGUAAAGAAGCACCGGCUAACUACGUG
rnacentral:rRNA from 1 species